UUAACUAUUACAUAGUACUCAGACGACAUUUAAUUCAGAGUUUUCGGUUCUCUGGCGGGCACUGACCAGCCGGGGCCGGUUGUUCAGCGCGGGGCCAAACGGGCCCGCCAAAGCAACAAAGGUAUUGUAAACAAAGGGUGGGAGGUCUACCCGUGAGGGCAUGAUCUCUUUAAUGAUCCUUCCGCAGGUUCACCUACGGAAA
rnacentral:misc_RNA from 1 species